rnacentral:rRNA from 1 species
GACGAACGCUGGCGGCGUGCUUAACACAUGCAAGUCGAACGAAGUGGCGAACGGGUGAGUAAUACGUGGGUACCCUGCCCUCCUUUUUGGGAUAAGCCUUGGAAACGGGGUCUAAUACCGAAUAAAGGGGGAUGGGCUCGCGGCCUGUCGGCUUGUUGGUGGGGUGAUGGCCUACCAAGGCGGUGACGGGUAGCCGGCCUGAGAGGGUGACCGGCGACGUUGGGACUGAGAUACGGCCCAGGGUGCUACGGGGGGCAGCAGUGGGGGAUAUUGGACAAUGGGCGAAAGCCUGAUGCAGCGGCGCCGCGUGGGGGAUGAGGGCUUUCGGGUUGUAAACCUCUUUCGCUAUCAGACGGGUAGGUGGAGAAGAAGCGCCGGCUAACUACGUGCCAGCAGCCGCGGUAAUAC